UACGUAGGGCGCAAGCGUUGUCCGGAAUUAUUGGGCGUAAAGAGCUCGUAGGCGGUUUGUCGCGUCUGCUGUGAAAUCCCGAGGCUCAACCUCGGGCUUGCAGUGGGUACGGGCAGACUAGAGUGCGGUAGGGGAGACUGGAAUUCCUGGUGUAGCGGUGGAAUGCGCAGAUAUCAGGAGGAACACCGAUGGCGAAGGCAGGUCUCUGGGCCGCAACUGACGCUGAGGAGCGAAAGCUAGGGGAGCGAACAGG
rnacentral:rRNA from 1 species